CCUACGGGAGGCAGCAGUGGGGGAUAUUGCACAAUGGGGGAAACCCUGAUGCAGCGACGCCGCGUGGGUGAAGAAGUAUUUCGGUAUGUAAAGCCCUAUCAGCAGGGAAGAAAGAAGACGGUACCUGACUAAGAAGCCCCGGCUAACUACGUGCCAGCAGCCGCGGUAAUACGUAGGGGGCGAGCGUUAUCCGGAUUCACUGGGUGUAAAGGGAGCGUAGACGGCCGUGCAAGUCAGAAGUGAAAGCCCGGGGCUCAACUCCGGGACUGCUUUUGAAACGGUUGAACUAGAUUGCAGGAGAGGUAAGUGGAAUUCCUAGUGUAGCGGUGAAAUGCGUAGAUAUUAGGAGGAACACCAGUGGCGAAGGCGGCUUACUGGACUGUAAAUGACGCUGAGGCUCGAAAGCGUGGGGAGCAAACAGGAUUAGAUACCCGUGUAGUC
rnacentral:rRNA from 1 species